rnacentral:rRNA from 1 species
UGCUCAGAUUGAACGCUGGCGGCAGGCUUAACACAUGCAAGUCGAGCGGAAACGAUGGGAGCUUGCUCCCAGGCGUCGAGCGGCGGACGGGUGAGUAACACUUAGGAAUCUACCUAGUAGUGGGGGAUAGCUCGGGGAAACUCGAAUUAAUACCGCAUACGUCCUACGGGAGAAAGGGGGCAACUUGUUGCUCUCGCUAUUAGAUGAGCCUAAGUCGGAUUAGCUAGAUGGUGGGGUAAAGGCCUACCAUGGCGACGAUCUGUAGCUGGUCUGAGAGGAUGAUCAGCCACACCGGGACUGAGACACGGCCCGGACUCCUACGGGAGGCAGCAGUGGGGAAUAUUGGACAAUGGGGGCAACCCUGAUCCAGCCAUGCCGCGUGUGUGAAGAAGGCCUUUUGGUUGUAAAGCACUUUAAGCAGUGAAGAAGACCUAACGGUUAAUACCCGUUAGCGAUGACAUUAGCUGCAGAAUAAGCACCGGCUAACUCUGUGCCAGCAGCCGCGGUAAUACAGAGGGUGCAAGCGUUAAUCGGAAUUACUGGGCGUAAAGCGAGCGUAGGUGGCUUGAUAAGUCAGAUGUGAAAUCCCCGGGCUUAACCUGGGAACUGCAUCUGAUACUGUUAAGCUAGAGUAGGUGAGAGGGAAGUAGAAUUCCAGGUGUAGCGGUGAAAUGCGUAGAGAUCUGGAGGAAUACCGAUGGCGAAGGCAGCUUCCUGGCAUCAUACUGACACUGAGGCUCGAAAAGACGG